rnacentral:rRNA from 1 species
UACAGAGGUCUCAAGCGUUGUUCGGAUUCAUUGGGCGUAAAGGGUGCGUAGGCGGCGCGGUAAGUCGGGUGUGAAAUCUCGGGGCUUAACUCCGAAACUGCAUUCGAUACUGCCGUGCUUGAGGACUGGAGAGGAGACUGGAAUUUACGGUGUAGCGGUGAAAUGCGCAGAUAUCGGGAGGAACACCAGUAGCGAAGGCGGCUCGCUGGGCCAUUCCGUGACGCUGAGACGCGAAAGCCGGGGGAGCAAAGCAGG